AAUCAUGCUUCCUUGAUAAUCACCCAUUUAACUUGAAAAUCACGCGUUUCUCUUCGGAAACCCCCCAUUUAACCCAAAAAACACGCGUUUUCUCUUCGAGAAUCCCCCAUUUAGACCAAAAAUCACGCAUAUUCUGUUUGAGAUCCCCCAUUUAAGAGAAAAUCAUGCGUUUUUUCUUUGAGAAUCCCCCUCUUAAGCUGAAAAUCACACGGUUUCUCUUGGAAAUCCCCCAUUUAAGCGAAAAAAUCACGCGUUUUCUCUACGAGAAUCUCCCAUUUAACCCGAAAUCACGCGUUUUCUCUUUGAGAAUCCCCCAUUAAGCGAAAACAAUGCGUUUUUCUUCUCUUCAACAUCCCUUAUUUAACCCGAAAAUCACGCGUUUUCUCUUCGCAAAUCCCCCAUUUAAGCGAAAAUCACGUUUUCUCUUCGGAAAUCCGCCAUUUAAGCGAAAAUCACGCAUUUUCUCUUUGAGAAUCCCCAUUUAAGUGAAAAUCACGCGUUUUUUUCUUCAAGAAUCCCCAAUUAACCUGAAAAUCACACGUUUUCUCUUGAGAGAUCCCCCAUUUAAGCGAAAAUCACGCAUUUUCUCUUUGAGAAUCCCCAAUUUAACCCGAAAAUCAUGCAUUUUCUCUUCGGAAUCCCCAUUUACCCAAAAUCAUGCGUCUGCUAUUCGGAAAUCCCCCAUUUAACCCGAAAAUCAAGCGAUUUCUCUUCGAGAAUCCCCAUUUAAGUGAAAAUCAUGCGUUUUCUCUUCGAGAAUCCCACAUUUAACCUGAAAAUCACGCGUUUUCUCUUCGAGAAACCCCUAUUAACCUGAAAAUCACACGUUUUCUUAUUCGGAAAUCUAUUGUUUAACCCGAAAAAUCAUGCGAUUUCUCAUUAAGAAGCUCCCAUUUAAGCGAAAAUCAUUGCUUUCUCCUCGAGACUCCCCCAUUUAACCGAAAAUUACGCGUUUUCUCUUUGAGAAUCUCCGAUUUUACCCGAGAAUCACGCGUUUUCUCUUCGGGAAUCCCUCAUUUAACCCGAAAAAUCACACAUUUUGUCUUCGGAAAUCCCCCAUUUACCCGCAAAUCACGUGUUUUCUCCUCGAAAAUCUGCCAUUUAAGCAAAAAUCACGCGUUUUCUCUCUGAGAAUCCUCCAU
rnacentral:lncRNA from 7 species